CUUAAACCUGAAAGACAAACCAUGCUGACACCAGCAGGGUAGUGUGCUGUGCAGUGCUCCAACUGAGGUGCCAGCGGAUCUUGGAGCUGGCACCGAAGUAGCCAAUGAGUCCGGGAACCUGCAGAGAAGGCCCUCCAAAACUUCUCACACAGUGGACGGAUUCCCUGGAAGGUGUGCUUCUCCUCUGUUAACAGUUCGCCUGGGUCAUAGGGCACUGCGUCCCUGUGGGAUGAGGAGAGCUUUUUAAGUUCCAAAGCUCUUCUUGCACCAGAUUCACAGCCCGUGUGUUUCAGCAGUUCUGUUUGCUCCUGCAGGGACCUGCCCAGGGGAGAUUUCCAGAGGCUCACCUCAUGCCGCCAUUUUGAUGACGUCUCUCUGUUUACCAGUUUAUUGAUACUUUACCAAGUGAAGAGCCCAGUGUAAAGAAUAAACUUUUUCAAAAAUAGCUCUGCAAUGAAAUUUUAUACCCAAAAAUCUUUGUUAUGAAAUGAACUUGAGUACAUUUUUUGCUAAAAAAGGAAGUAAACAAUUGUUUAUUCAGUGGUGCAGUCCCGUUCAUUAUUAAAGAUAAGUUUAAUGUCAUUUAUUUUUUUAAUGUACUUUCCAUGUUUCUCCCAUACAGAAUUGAAUUUUUCCGUU